rnacentral:rRNA from 1 species
AGUGAACGCUGGCGGUAGGCCUAACACAUGCCAGUCGAACGGCAGCACAGUAAGAGCUUGCUCUUACGGGUGGCGAGUGGCGAACGGGUGAGGAAUACAUCGGAAUCUACUUUUUCGUGGGGGAUAACGUAGGGAAACUUACGCUAAUACCGCAUACGACCUACGGGUGAAAGCAGGGGAUCUUCGGACCUUGCGCGAUUGAAUGAGCCGAUGUCGGAUUAGCUAGUUGGCGGGGUAAAGGCCCACCAAGGCGACGAUCCGUAGCUGGUCUGAGAGGAUGAUCAGCCACACUGGAACUGAGACACGGUCCAGACUCCUACGGGAGGCAGCAGUGGGGAAUAUUGGACAAUGGGCGCAAGCCUGAUCCAGCCAUACCGCGUGGGUGAAGAAGGCCUUCGGGUUGUAAAGCCCUUUUGUUGGGAAAGAAAAGCAGCAGGUUAAUACCCCGCUGUUCUGACGGUACCCAAAGAAUAAGCACCGGCUAACUUCGUG